CAGCCGCCACGGUAAUGCGUAGGGUGCAAGCGUUAAUCGGAAUUACUGGGCGUAAAGCGUGCGCAGGCGGUUCGCUAAGACAGAUGUGAAAUCCCCGGGCUUAACCUGGGAACUGCAUUUGUGACUGCACAGCUAGAGUAUGGCAGAGGGGGGUGGAAUUCCACGUGUAGCAGUGAAAUGCGUAGAGAUGUGGAGGAAUACCGAUGGCGAAGGCAGCCCCCUGGCCAAUACUGACGCUCAUGCACGAAAGCGUGGGGAGCAAACAGGAUUAGAUACCCCGGUAGUCCCUGUCUCUUAUACA
rnacentral:rRNA from 1 species